AUAUCUCUCCGUACGGGAAGGAUGAGAAGCUUCGAUUAAGGUUCGAUUCGAGCGCAGCGAGAAAGCGUUGCCGCAGGCAACGACCCGAAGGGCG
rnacentral:sRNA from 1 species